CAUGCAGCACAUCCCUCAUGAAUGGCUUGGUGCUCUUCCCAUGGUAACAAGUGAGUUCUCACUCUGUUCAUUCACAUGAGAGCUGGUUGUUUAAAGAGCCUGGCUCCUCCUCCUGUCUCUCUCUCACUUCUGCUCCCACCAUGUGUUUGUUGUACCUGCUCCUGCUUGGCCUUUCGCCAUGAUUGUAAGUUUCCUGAGGCUCUUGCUGAAGCAGAUCCUGACACCAUGCUUCCUGUAUAGCCUGCAGAACUAAAUCAAUCAUUUCACCAAUGAGUCUUGGGAUGAAGCAAAAUGGCAGAACAGAGAGCUCCAUGGAUCAUCCCCCAUGCAAGGACACCAAGUUAACAACUAUCUACAUAGAAAAAAAAACCUUAUGAGAAUAAAAAAUCAGGUGAGUG
rnacentral:lncRNA from 10 species